UACGUAGGGGCAAGCGUUGUCCGGAUUUAUUGGGCGUAAAGCGCGUGUAGGCGGCCAGGUAGGUCCGCUGUGAAAACCCGAGGCUCAACCUCGGGACGUCGGCGGAAACCAUCUGGCUAGAGUCCGGAAGAGGAGAGUGGAAUUCCCGGUGUAGCGGUGAAAUGCGCAGAUAUCAGGAAGAACACCCGUGGCGAAGGCGGCUCUCUGGGACGGUACUGACGCUGAGACGCGAAAGCGUGGGGAGCGAACAGG
rnacentral:rRNA from 1 species